UCGGACGUGGUGUAUGAAACACGGCAGGUUCAUCUCUCAUAUUGUAGUCGUAGGUAACCCCGCAGAACGGGGUUCGACUCCCCGCGUCCGAA